rnacentral:rRNA from 1 species
GUGAACGCUGGCGGUAGGCCCAACACAUGCAAGUCGAACGGCAGCACCGUAAGAGCUUGCUCUUACGGGUGGCGAGUGGCGGACGGGUGAGGAAUACAUCGGAAUCUACUUUUUCGUGGGGGAUAACGUAGGGAAACUUACGCUAAUACCGCAUACGACCUACGGGUGAAAGCAGGGGAUCUUCGGACCUUGCGCGAUUGAAUGAGCCGAUGUCGGAUUAGCUAGUUGGCGGGGUAAAGGCCCACCAAGGCGACGAUCCGUAGCUGGUCUUAGAGGAUGAUCAGCCACACUGGAACUGAGACACGGUCCAGACUCCUACGGGAGGCAGCAGUGGGGAAUAUUGGACAAUGGGCGCAAGCCUGAUCCAGCCAUACCGCGUGGGUGAAGAAGGCCUUCGGGUUGUAAAGCCCUUUUGUUGGGAAAGAAAAGCAGCAGGUUAAUACCCCGCUGUUCUGACGGUACCCAAAGAAUAAGCACCGGCUAACUUCGUG